ensembl:lncRNA
UUUUUCUUUUUUUUUUAAAUGGUUAGCCUCAUAUUAAAAAUCAAGAAGACCUGUGCAAGCCUCCAGAGGUCUCUGAUAACACAAGAUACUGAAAUGCUAAGCAGGUAUGCUGGACACCUGGGCCCUGUGCCCUAAGGAUGAUUUCAGAAAGCUGAGCCUCAACCCAGGUGAUUCUCACUCAAGGUGUAAACUCCUAUUGGGCUUUUUCAUUGCCACAUCCUCCCCCAUAAACUGAUAAGUCCCACUUUUUUUGUGCAGAGUUGGAUGUUAGAGGAACAAACACAGUUUUAAAAACCCUUAUAUUUCCUCUGCUGUUGUCUUUGGUAGGGAUAGACACAUGCCUCUACCUCAUUUAAGAAUAUUUAACUAGGUCUGACCUUAUUUAAAAUCCCAGCUCACAAACUCUAAAAAACUCAUGGUUAACAAAGGGGACAAGUGAGGGGGAUGGACUGGGGGUUUGGGAUUGACAUGUGCACACUGAGGUAGAUGGAACAAUAGGCCCACAGGAAGCCCUACCCAAUAUUCUGUGAUAAUCUAUAUGGGAAAAGAAUCUGAAAGAGAACAGAUAUGUGCAUAUGUAUGACUGAAUCACUUUGUAGUACAGAAGAAAUUAUCACAACCUUGUAAAUCAACUAUAUGUCAAUAAAACUCAAAAAAAUCAAAAGAAAUUACUAUUAAUACUGAAAGAAAAAAAAAUCUCAGCUGGGAACUCUGAUUACUAUCUGAGAGCACAGUCAAAGAAGAAACAGUAUCAAUGUACCUCACUAGUAACAAGUUAGAUUAGCUAGAGAAUUUAGUGGUGAUGGUUACCAAGAUGUACAAGUGGGAAGAAAAGGGACCCACUUUCUCAGAGGAGACAGAGGACAAUAUAAGUCAAUGACAAAUGCCCAAAGACUCAACUUUCCUGACAUCCUGAGGUUCUAGAUGUUCCUGUUCCUGCCCCACUACAACCAGGAGAUUAAAAAAAAAAAUUGUAGCAGUAGCAGGAAGUGACUAGAAAGUCUGAGCUGUCAUUACACAGAAGAGACAGUUUUAUUUUGGGAUGAUAAGAGAAAUAGCAAAUGGAGGAGCCAUACUUUCUCUGUACAUCUGAAUUGUGGUGGGAAUAAGAAUGCUGUCUAAUAUACACAUAUCAAUACAUUCAGAUCAGAUUUGUAACAAAACAGCAUCUAGUAUACCCUCUAGAAGAGUUUACCAUUUGGAGGUUUGAGGUCAAAAAACAUCAGAGUGGAAUAAUCAUCUGUUGAAAUCACCAAAUUUUACAAUUAAGGAAACUGAGUCCCUGAGAGUUAAAGGUGACUCAACUCUUUAUUGGUAGAAGCAGAACAAAACUACAGAUGUCAUGAUCCAAUGCCCACCUCCCAGCUAUUCCUAAUUACCUCCCAGUUCUGGAUCCAAGAAGCCAUUUUUGCAACUUAUAAAUAAGAGUAUGGAAUAUUUUUAAAAUAUAAAUAAAUACAUACAGGAAAAUGAAGGUAAGGUACUAGGCAUUUUCUUAGUUCCCUUUCAGCUCUAACAUUCUUUGAUGAAUAGCACACAGGAGCUUUGCUAUAGCACAACCCCCUCUAGUGCAUAACUCAGCAUACGAUGAGUAUGAGUCUAUUUUGGACCCCAUCCAAGGAAGUUAAUUCCUAGAAGUACUCGAAAGAUUUCACUCUCAUGUAUCAUGAAGCAUCCUAAAAAGAAGACUGAAAAUAAUCACAAGGACAAUAGUAGUAAUCAUUUGUUACACUUGUGUUAUAUACUAAACAUCAUGCUAUCCCACUGUUUUUUGAGAGGCACAUCAUGACCUUUGCUGGGUCAAGAAUCUAGUGGGUCAAGAACAAUAUUUCAAAUGAAAGUAGAGAAUAAAAGAGAGAAUAGUGCAUUAUAUAUAUCAAGUAUUAUUUUGUGAGACUUAUGUUUCCAUUAUGUGGCUAGUGAUCAAAAGAAAAAAGUUUCAAAGCUUAACAACAGACCUAAUAAUUAAAUAUUAUUAGCCCCAUUGUAUAAGUGAGAAAACAGGAACAAAGAUAAUAAGUAAUUUGGCCAAGUUGACAUAGCUAAUGAGUGGCCAAGCUAGACUCUAGAAACUACUUCUCUUUGAUUUCAAAAUCUUGCAUUUUUACUUCUUUUCUGAUUAUAAAUUAUUAGCCAAGGAACUAAAUAAUUGUUGAUCAUAUUUUGUGAAGUCUACAGUGGUUUGUAUUAAAUCCAGUUAGAAUGGAGAAACACAGCAUAAGGUCAAAUGAUGUGUUCUAAAGAUAGUAAAGAAUUUAAGGCACUGACAUGAAUAUCUGAGGCAACUUCCUAUAGGUACUAGCCACACCUAAUAUACUUCAUUAAUUUGCAGCUAAAUGCAUACAUGGAAUAGCAAUGAAUGGUUUUAAUCCUCAGAUAACUUAAAUAUUAAUCUCUACAAGCUUUAAAAUGUUUGAGAGAGUUUUUCAAAUUUAAUUCAUGCAGCAUUUCACAGUAGCUUAUUUCUUGAUCAAACACAGACCUGGCACAUGAGAAAGAUAAAGCAAAUACAUACAAAACACAGUCCUUAAAAUAAACAAUAUUUUAAUUCAUUUGAAAACACAAGAUAUACACAUAGAAAGUAAUCAGGCUACACUACAAUUCCACCUAAACUGGGAAGAAGAAAGGAAGACACCUCAAGAGCCAUGCUAAUUUUUUAACUCAUAAUGUUUUAUGGAUUCUACCUAUGAUAUUGCAAGUUUAGGUGCUAUUAUUCCCAUUCUCCAGAUUGGAAAGCUCAAACUCAGAAUGAGCGGGUGAUUGAAAUAAGUGUUUAUUCUUGAUCUUUCUGAUUCCACUACCCAAAGACAUUUUACAAACAGGUUGGGCUUCCAGUAGGCAGAGGUGGUUACAGAUUGUGAGACAUGCUGUGCAAACGUUCACACUUCUGUCCAUGUGAAAGAAAUGCACUUUCUCGUUUCCUCCCGGGCAGCAUUUCUUGUUGCUAUCAGGCAGCAGGCUUCUUUUAAAGAAAAGGAGAUCCACGUCUUUUUCUAAAGAGAGGCCUAGGAAAGCUAGGCCCUCUACCCUGACUCUGUUCGGUUCUGCUGCUGCAUUUCACCCUUACCUGCUGUGUGUAGAGGACGUUAUGGUACGGUGCUAUUUUCCAUUGGCUCUGCUACUGGAGAUUACAGCAUGCGACGGUGACAAAUGGAUAUUCCCAUUAAAUUCUUUAGUAGAGUGGGGCAUUCCAUUAACCACUGGCACUAUCCCAACCCAAGUGAAACACUGGGUCAUUUUUUUUUCUUGUGAGCAAGAAGUGAAGGGGGAAAACAAAGGAUAGACUCUAAUUACCUUCCGUAUUUUUUUAGUGUUGCAUGCAUUAUGAUAGCAGUAUAUUACAAUUAUUUAUAAUUAAUAUAUGACAACCUGUCAGCUAAAAUUUAACAGGUGAUUUGUCAAGAAGUUCCAUUAACUAAUACAUUAAGCAAUAGAUUUCAGCAUUUCCUAACAAUAAAAGUGUGUUUUGGUUUUGUUGUUUUUUAAUCUAUUGCAUUUAAAUAUUCAGAGGCCAUCUGUCUUUAUAUAUUUGCAGCUUCUUUAAAAAAUAUAACUCGUGUUAACACAAAAUAGGCACUUUGUUAGUAAUGUUAAGGAAUAAGCACAUUUUUUGUCACUUUAACCUUUAAAUGCUAAUGUUUUCACUGAGGAAACUAAUUGCCUCAUGUUUAUUUUUAAGUUUUAAACUUAUAUGAUUUUUAUACAUUUGUCAAAUGAUGUAAAAAUAUUAAGAAGUCACCAGAAAGCUAAUAAUUAAUCACUAGAAGGAGAAAUCUACAGUCACUGUUUUGCUGAAUGGCACAAGAAUAGGGCACAUGAUGGAAAUGAAUUGCUGAGAUUUCUGGAAAGGGAUAAGAAUCUUUAAAAGAGGAAAAGCUUAGUUUCAAUAUCUAUGGAAUGUCAAUUCAUGGGACAUAACCUGGAAAUGAAGUUAAACUUGAAACUACAGGUUUAUUAUGGUUCCAUGGCAUUGUUUAAGAGGAUGAGAGAAAAGUAAAGCAGCAUUUGUUUAAAAUUUCAUUUGCACAAGGCUGACUCUUAUCUUUCAAGACUAGGAUGUGCUGCAGGAUGUUAAUGACUCCCAAUCAACUACUGUAGAGGGUGCUGAAUCUCCUUAACGAAAGAAUGUGCUUCAAGAUUCAAUGGUUAGAAAAAGAGGAAAAGCAAAUAAAAAAAUGAGGGUAAAGCUGGAAGUACAACAGCUUUUCAAAGCAAUUAACACUUCCAUGUCCACCAACCAAGCUGUCUUAACAGUUUUAGCAAGGAAGCCAUACAGAGUCGACGUGAUUUGUCAAGGGUCUUCUGAAUAGGGUUUCAGAAAAUGAUUUUCAGAAACUCACUCAGAAAUAAAAUGCCACAAGUUGAUUUCCACGUACUAGGGAGUGUAUCUCUUUACAGGAUGAGAACUAUAGAUGACCAGUAACAAACCAGUCCUUGUAUCCUGGACCAGGAUCCCCAUUACCAUAUGUCACCUUGCUUCCUAGAUAUAGAAGUGUUCUCAAGUAUAGCUGUGGCUGCUUCUCCAGGUAUUAAAGAGCAGUUUUCUAAACAGCAAAGACGGGGAGUUCCCGUUGUGGCAAAGCAGAAACGAAUCCAACUAGGAACCAUGAGGUUUCGGGUUCGAUCCCUGGCCUCACUAAGUGGGCUAGGGAUCCGGCUUUGCCAUGAGCUGUGGUGUAGGUCACAGCUGUGGUGUAGGUCGUAGAUGUGGCUCGGAUCCCACAUUGCUGUGGCUCUGGCCUAGGCCGGCAGCAACAGCUCCAAUUUGACCCCUAGCCUGGGACACUUCAUGUGCUUUGGGUGCAGCCCUAAAAAGGCAAAAGGCAAAAGGUAAAAAAAAAAAAAAAAAGCAGACAUUAAGACAAUCAUAUUUUUAACUACGAAUCAAACCUUUCUCUUUCUCCUAUACUUCUAUACUUAUACUUCAUUACAUAAUUAUUUCUACUGGGCAUGUCCAUACUUGGCUAUUAAUGUAAUUUUUCAGCUGUUUUGAGCAGAUUCAUAUCUGAUUGGAGCCCAAAGCCCUUAUCAUAGGGCUUAGAGCCCUCUAUAUACUCCAUAAAUAUUUGAAAAAGUAAAGGAAGAGCAGGACGGAGCUAGGAAGAGGGAAAGAGGAAAUGAAUUGGUUGUCAAUUACUCAUUUAAUGGGAAAUAUCACUUUCUUCACAAAGCUUCCAGUUGUUCACUAAGUGGAAUGAAUCUCUCCUGGCUCUGAUCUCACAUUCUUUCCUUUUUCUUCUCAUUUCCUAUUUCUCUGUAAUUUUUGUGUGUAUAUAUUUGAACCCUCUUAAGCUCUGAGCAUCUCCACACUCUUGCUAUCAUGAUCAGAACCUGGACUGUAUAUAGAUCUCAAAAGAUUUCAGCUGCAUGACUCAGUGGAGGGUACCAUAGGCUCAGAUGCCACUGUGUCUGGUCAGAUGUCACCUUCAUAUUCCCUCUUAUCAAGCCUAUGUUGAAAGGUACAAGACCACGACCACAAGUUGAGUCAAAGGUAAACUUAAAGAAGCAAAAUACACAACAAAAUGUCACAGGCCAGAAAUAAUAAUAGAAUCUGAACAGGAUUGGAGGGACUCAGUUCCACAGCUUUCUGGAUGAGAGUAAUUAUAAACUUUCAAAAUUUCCUACAAGAUGUCAAAAUAACUGAUAAAAUCAGCAGAAAAAAAAAUCCUUCAUACUUCUGACUCGUAGUGAACUAUAUCUUUAACUAGAUGUACUCUGUUUGGUGGGCAGAGCAUUCAUUUGUCUGUAAUUUUUUUCCUGUAUCAUCAAAUACUAUUCCAAAGCAUUCUGAUUUUCAAAACUCAUUUCCUACAUCUCCAAAAUUACUAGUAACAAUAAUAGGUCCAGCAGAAAUUUAAAGAGACAAGGUAAAAGCUAUUCUUUCUCAAAUAUAUGAUUCUUAUAUAGUCUAUUCAAGUCAAUAUUUGUUUUGUAAAUGUAGAAACACCAAUCUUGUUUAGUUAUUAUCUGUUUUUACUUCUUGAAGAUCCUACUUUAUCUCUUCUUACCACUAGAACCCAUCUGUUCAAUAUAAACAUUUUUCAUGUUCUUUGGACUAGUACAGUAAUAAUCGUUUAUAUAUUCCUCUCCUAAUCUUUUUCUUAUUGGCCCCAAUUCAUUCUCCACUGUGCUGCCCAAUUAACUUUAACAAAGCACAAAUCUGAUUAUGUAACUUCCAUACUCAAAAACAAACAAAAAACCUCAGUUGCUCAUUAUUACUGACUAAAGUAAACACAAAUGUUCUACCAGCAUUCAAAGGCCCCCACAAAUGGAAUGCUGCCUGAAUCUAGUUUUCUACUUCAAAUUUCCACCUCUUCACUACCAAUACCCUUACCUCCAGAACUGUCUGAACAAAACUCUACAUUUUCUUACUCAGUCAGUAAGUCUCGUAUGUUCACCUACAUGUUGAAUUCCCACCCAGCCUUUAAGGAUCAUCUCAUCAAAUAGCUGGGAUUUUUUUCUUCUGAUCUUCUACCCAGAAAUAAGUACUGGUUCUUUUAAAACAUCUGUUUCUUCAGGCUUCCCCAAGCCAUCUUUGCAUUAUUUCGCUAUAUUGGAUUCUAUAGUAAUAAAUUUGUGGCAUCCUCAUUUUAAAAAACCUGAUUCUUUGAAUCUCUUGUGUGAAAAAAACAGUCUACUGAAGUAGGAUUAAAGAUCAUAGAAGCACUCACUUCCAAGAUAUGUUCCAUGGCUAAUAUUAUUGGUAUCCAUCCAUUGAUUAGAAUGGUAAAAUAUUAUGAGACUGUACUGGAUGGAGUCAGUGGGAAACUAUGCAAACUAAUGUGUAAUGGCACCUUGAAAGUUCUUUUACCAGGUGACUAUGUUGAGGAAGAGAACAAAUAAAUUCCAGAAAUUCUGAGUUAAGACCAAUAUAAAAAGUAACAGAUGAUGGAAACUUUUUCUUUCUUUUUUUCUUUUUCUUUCUUUCUUUCUUUCUUUCUUUCUUUCUUUCUUUCUUUCUUUCUUUCUUUCUUUCUUUUUUCUUUCCUUCUUUCCUUCUUUCUUUCUCUCUCUCUUUCUUUCUUUUUUUUCUCUCCCC